rnacentral:rRNA from 1 species
GAUGAACGCUGGCGGCGUGCCUAAUACAUGCCAGUCGAGCGAACAGAUGAGGAGCUUGCUCCUCUGACGUUAGCGGCGGACGGGUGAGUAACACGUGGAUAACCUACCUAUAAGACUGGGAUAACUUCGGGAAACCGGGGCUAAUACCGGAUAAUAUAUUGAACCACAUGGUUCAAUAGUGAAAGACGGUUUUGCUGUCACUUAUAGAUGGAUCCGCGCCGCAUUAGCUAGUUGGUAAGGUAACGGCUUACCAAGGCAACGAUGCGUAGCCGACCUGAGAGGGUGAUCGGCCACACGGGAACUGAGACAGGGUCCAGACUCCUACGGGAGGCAGCAGUAGGGAAUCUUCCGCAAUGGGCGAAAGCCUGACGGAGCAACGCCGCGUGAGUGAUGAAGGUCUUCGGAUCGUAAAACUCUGUUAUUAGGGAAGAACAAAUGUGUAAGUAACUAUGCACGUCUUGACGGUACCUAAUCAGAAAGCCACGGCUAACUACGUG